rnacentral:snRNA from 11 species
AAAAUUCAUAGAAGGUGGUUUUCCCAGGGUAAGGCUCAUCCAUUGAACUCCAGGUGUGCUGAUCCUGUGAGUUCCCCAAAUGUAGGAAACUCCGCUGUGUAAUUUGUGGUAGUAGAGAACUGCAUUCAUGUUCUCUCUUU